rnacentral:rRNA from 1 species
GCGAGAAACCUUUGCAAUGUGCGCAAGCACGACAAGGUUAAUCCGAGUGUUUCCUGCUAAAGGAACCUUUUGUUAGUUCUAAAACCACUGAUGAAUAAGAGGUGGGCAAGUUCUGGUGUCAGCCGCCGCGGUAAAACCAGCACCUCAAGUGGUCAGGAGGAUUAUUGGGCCUAAAGCAUCCGUAGCCGGUUCUGUAAGUUUUCGGUUAAAUCCACUAGCUUAACUAAUGGGCUGCCGAAAAUACUGCAGAACUAGGGAGUGGGAGAGGUAGACGGUACUCGGUAGGAAGGGGUAAAAUCCUUUGAUCUAUUGAUGACCACCUGUGGCGAAGGCGGUCUACCAGAACACGUUCGACGGUGAGGGAUGAAAGCUGGGGGAGCAAACCGGAUUAGAUACCCAUGUAGUCCCUGAGCGGGCUGGCAAGGCGCAU